AGCGAACGCUGGCGGCAGGCCUAACACAUGCAAGUCGAACGAAUUCUUCGGAGUUAGUGGCGGACGGGUGAGUAACACGUGGGAACGUGCCUUUUGGUUCGGAAUAACUCAGGGAAACUUGUGCUAAUACCGAAUGUGCCCUUCGGGGGAAAGAUUUAUCGCCAUUAGAGCGGCCCGCGUCUGAUUAGCUAGUUGGUGAGGUAACGGCUCACCAAGGCGACGAUCAGUAGCUGGUCUGAGAGGAUGACCAGCCACACUGGGACUGAGACACGGCCCAGACUCCUACGGGAGGCAGCAGUGGGGAAUCUUGCGCAAUGGGCGAAAGCCUGACGCAGCCAUGCCGCGUGAAUGAUGAAGGUCUUAGGAUUGUAAAAUUCUUUCACCGGGGACGAUAAUGACGGUACCCGGAGAAGAAGCCCCGGCUAACUUCGUG
rnacentral:rRNA from 1 species